GUUCAUACGCCCGUCUCUCUGUCUCUGUUCAUACAAAGAAUAAGUAGCCAACGCAAUCUGAUGUUGAACCUGUUAGGCCAUACGUUAUUCAUCCUUGUGACCUGGUACUUACUACGCGGUACUCCUAUACGAACUAUCUUACACGUUUACGAGUAAAGUGGAGAACCCCGUC